rnacentral:rRNA from 1 species
CCUACGGUGAGCUGCAGUGAAGAAUAUUGGUCAAUGGACGAGAGUCUGAACCAGCCAAGUAGCGUGAAGGAUGACUGCCCUAUGGGUUGUAAACUUCUUUUAUAAAGGAAUAAAACGAGGCACGUGUGCCUUUUUGCAUGUACUUUAUGAAUAAGGCUCGGCUAACUCCGUGCCAUCAGCCGCGGUACUACGGAGGAUCCGAGCGUUAUCCGGAUUUAUUUGGUUUAAAUGGAGCGUAGAUGGGUUGUUAAGUCAGUUGUGAAAGUUUGCGGCUCAACCGUAAAAUUGCAAUUGAUACUGGAAGUCUUGAGUACAGUUGAGGUAGGCGGAAUGCGUGGUGUAGCGGUGAAAUGCUUAGAUAUCACGAAGAACCCCGAUUGCGAAGGCAGCUUACUAAACUGUGACUGACAUUGAUGCUCGAAAGUGUGGGUAUCAAACAGGAUUAGAUACCCGAGUAGUC